UUACCCCAUGAUGCUCAGGUCCGCCGCAUCUCCUGGGUCGUGGGGUCGGUCGGCUGGCUUCCGGCGUCUGCGGAUUCCUCGUGCCGCUGCUGGGACCAGCCGACCCCCUU
rfam:Ensifer sp. YIC4027 scaffold5, whole genome shotgun sequence.